rnacentral:rRNA from 1 species
GAUGAACGCUAGCGGCAGGCUUAAUACAUGCAAGUCGAGGGGCAGCAGUCCCGCAGCAAUGCGGGAGCUGGCGACCGGCAAACGGGUGCGGAACACGUACAGAACCUUCCUUCGAGCGGGGAAUAGCCCAGAGAAAUUUGGAUUAAUACCCCAUAGCAUUACGAAGUGGCAUCACUUUGUAAUUAAGAUUUAUCACUCGAAGAUGGCUGUGCGGCUGAUUAGGUAGUUGGCGGAUAACGGCCCACCAAGCCUUCGAUCAGUAACUGGUGUGAGAGCACGACCA